AACGAACGCUGGCGGCAUGCCUAACACAUGCAAGUCGAACGAGACCUUCGGGUCUAGUGGCGCACGGGUGCGUAACGCGUGGGAACCUGCCCUUAGGUUCGGAAUAACUCCCCGAAAGGGGUGCUAAUACCGGAUAAUGUCUUCGGACCAAAGAUUUAUCGCCUUUGGAUGGGCCCGCGUUGGAUUAGCUGGUUGGUAGGGUAAAAGCCUACCAAGGCGACGAUCCAUAGCUGGUCUGAGAGGAUGAUCAGCCACACUGGGACUGAGACACGGCCCAGACUCCUACGGGAGGCAGCAGUGGGGAAUAUUGGACAAUGGGCGAAAGCCUGAUCCAGCAAUGCCGCGUGAGUGAUGAAGGCCUUAGGGUUGUAAAGCUCUUUUACCCGGGAUGAUAAGGACAGUACCUGGAGAAUAAGCACCGGCUAACUCCGU
rnacentral:rRNA from 1 species